rnacentral:rRNA from 1 species
GAUGAACGCUAGCUACAGGCUUAACACAUGCAAGUCGAGGGGCAGCACAGUGUAGUAAUACAUGGGUGGCGACCGGCGCACGGGUGCGUAACGCGUAUCCAACCUUCCCGUUACUCAGGGAUAGCCUUCCGAAAGGGAGAUUAAUACCUGAUGGUGUUCAAAUUCCGCAUGUUAUUUGAACUAAAGAUUUAUCGGUAACGGAUGGGGAUGCGUGACAUUAGGUAGAUGGCGGGGUAACGGCCCACCAUGCCUACGAUGUCUAGGGAUUCUGAGAGGAAGGUCCCCCACACUGGAACUGAGACACGGUCCAGACUCCUACGGGAGGCAGCAGUGAGGAAUAUUGGUCAAUGGUCGGAAGACUGAACCAGCCAAGUAGCGUGAAGGAUGAAGGUUCUAUGGAUUGUAAACUUCUUUUAUACGGGAAUAAAACGUCCCACGUGUGGGAUCUUGUAUGUACCGUAUGAAUAAGCAUCGGCUAACUCCGUGCCAGCCGCCGCAGUAACAC